UUUAACUUUCUCGCAAUCCAAACACCCCAAAUAUUAAGAUUUAUUUACAAUGCCAUCUUCCUUAUUUUGCUGAAUGGGUUGCAUCCAUCUUUUACUUUUGAGCAAAUUGAAACUCAUCCCCAAAUUUUUUCAUCACCUUUUUGCAUUGUUGAACAAUGCUCCCAUUCCAUAAAAGGAUAGUGCUUUCGUACAAGAUUAUCUUGCCAGCAUGGGAGCAGAUUAAACCCAUAACUCUCUGCUUUACUACCAUCGCGUGCAAAUCACUUCCAAUACCAUAACUUCAGUAUCCAUCACCAUGACACCACCACUAUAUCCAUUUUCUCUUCGCCAACGUUUGAUGUCGUGCCUGUUAAUGGCUGCUGCAGCCCAUGGUGCAUCUAGAAAUCUAGAAAUCAUGGCACUGAGAUUAAUGGCCAAUUUGAUUAACUUCGUGAAAGAUCUCAUUCUCAUGUCAGAUCUGAAUCCUAACAGAGCCCUUGUAGUUGUUGUUGUAAUGAUCAAUCGUUGAUGAACUGAUGAUGGUGGUAAAGGAAGAGGAAUUACUAGUUCGAGUCUCGUUGUGGGAGAGGGAGUAUGUUAGCAGCGGAAGGGCUGAUGGAAAAGGUGGUGAGGAUAGGGCAAUGUCGUGGUUUCGGAAGAGAAAGGGCGGGUUUUGUUGGGAUAUAUGAUGGAUUUGGUGGGAACAAAUGCACCAGAUUUACAAGUGGAAGGACUACUAUGGGAUAACGAAGAUAACUCCGUCAAUGAUCCAAUGAAGGAAAAUGCUAAACUUUCAUAAAAUUGUAAAUGUCGGAGGCUGGUUCGGAAGAAGAUCACCUCAUUUAACUGGUAGUUCAGAAGAAUUCAGGACUUAUCAAGCUGUCAACAGCAAUCAUCUAAUUUCGAAGAAAAGCCCAGUAUAUCAGCAGGCUCUGCUUCUGCUGCCAACUUGACUGGCCAAGGAAAGGAAAAGUAUUGAGCUUCUGCAAUUGGAAUCAAGCAAUGGGAUGGUUCUUAUUUACAUCAUCUGGAUUGGGUUUGAAUCUAGUAAUCAAUCUGGCAAUUCUAAUAUCAUGACAAACACACUUUGUAAGGAAAAGAAUCAUAUCUUUUGAUCACUCAAGCGGGAAAUGCCAAUAUCCAACAACACCAAAGCUUACUUGCAAUUCCUCAGAAUUGAUGAAGUUGCUCUUAGUUAUAUUGUAAUAUUAAUAACACUGGAACGUCUUCCAAGGAAAGGAAGAUAAGGGCUCUUGCAUUAUUUUCCUUGGAGAUUAGAGCGUAAGCAAAGAUUUAAUUAUAAAUCCAAUCAUAGUUUUAGUAUGUAA